UUCCUGCUGGCUCAGCUGGUAAAGAAUCUGCCUGCAAUGCAGGAGACCUGGGUUCAAUCCCUGGGUUGGGAA
rnacentral:tRNA from 1 species